CCGGUGGGGCCAGGCGGAGGUCUGCAGACAGGGUAGCGCCCUGUCUACGCGGCCACAGAAGCCACUUCCACGCCCAUUUGCCACCCCUGGGAGGUUUCUGAGAUCUGGCGGGUGGGGUGAGGAGGACACGGAUCUCUGGCUCUCUCCUCUGUGUUCUUCGGAAGUUUCUAAUGACACUCCAAGCCCAGAAGCUGCUGGCAUUGCGUCCCCCUCUGACAAGACUCUAGGCCAGUGGUAGGGAAGAGGGACCGACACCCCCAAAUCACAGAACUCUCUGUGCUGCCCUGGACUGACCACUGUCUCCUACUCCAUUCAACAGGCGGAUCUGGGGCUGGGUGAACAGCCUCCUUCCUCCCACUGCCUGCUUGGGAGAAACUACGGGGGUCGGAGCGGAGAGUAUGUGAAGCUCUACACACCAUGACGUGGCCCUAUAUACACGGGAAGCAUUCGAAUACACCAGGGAGAGCCCCGAUAACCGGAAAUACCUGUUUAGGUCAGAGGGAUUACAGAGUAUGGAUUCUUUUCCAUGGACAAGUCUGUCUCCUGGGAACUGGAGAGAACCAAGAUUUGCUCAGCUGAGAGCCACGUCUCAAACAUCUGGCUUCAGAGCAGACCAGGCCACAGAAGGGGCCAAAGAACUUUGGGAGUUCUCGUCAGUCAGGAUGGAGUCAAGUUUUUCAUCUGCUUUUUCUCUC